CGUAGGCGGCUAUUUAAGUCGGAUGUGAAAGCCCCGGGCUCAACCUGGGAACUGCAUCCGAUACUGGGUAGCUAGAAUGCAGUAGAGGGAGGUGGAAUUUCCGGUGUAGCGGUGAAAUGCGUAGAGAUCGGAAGGAACACCAGUGGCGAAGGCGGCCUCCUGGACUGACAUUGACGCUGAGGUGCGAAAGCGUGGGGAUCAAACA
rnacentral:rRNA from 1 species